UGAACAAUAGGCACUUGCUGGAGAGGUGGCUGGGUACGAAGUCUGGGGGCACCGCGGGUCUGCAGGGGGUUCCUGUGAUGGCGUCUCCUGGGGGCCUGGGCAUCAAGAUAUGUGGCCUGGAAAAGUGGCCUCCAUUCCUCCAAACUUCUUCGAUGGCCAUAAAUAACACCCAGGAGCAAAGUGGUUGUGUCCGUUCUUUCCAAUUCCAGACCUUUCUAAUCUCCAGCUCUGUCCGGAGCCAGAGACCCAGGCUACACACUGCUACAGGGGAGCAGCCUGUCUGCUUGCCUGGGCCAUGAGGAUCACCGCUGUGUUCAGGUGGAUGGCUGCAACCACACCAUAUCUCAGCACACAGUAUACAUCUUCAUUUUUAUCACACUCCUCGGGAACUCAGGACCCAAGACGUACUUUGUGCGUGAGGAAGUCUGGUGUAGCCCCUCUGACGUCUGUGCCUCGUGCUCUGCUCCGCAGUGAUCAGCUAAGGCGCUGCAGCGCCCCGAAGCCUGCAGUAAUGUGCGUGCGGCGCCGGGCGAGCAAGUCCUCAGCCUUCCCACGGCUCGCGCGGGAAGGGCUGGAUGUAGUUCAGUUUUACUAAUUGCAAGGAAAGGCUAGGAGGAGAAGAAAAAAAAAAAAAAGCCAUGGAAACAUUAAAGGAUUUGGGGAUUGUUUUUAAAAAAUGCUUUUUCCCCCGCAUGACAGGUUGACACAGUCAAGCCAGAGAGGGAUUUCAGGGCUGAAGACGUUUUUUGCUCCAUGGAGAGUCACAUUGAGCUCUGGGGAACUGUGUCCGUGUUUCUUCACUAGAAGACGUAAA